rnacentral:rRNA from 1 species
UGGGCAACCUGCCCCUGACACUGGGAUAACCCCGGGAAACCGGAGCUAAUACCGGAUACUCUCGGCCGAUCACAUGGCUGGCCGAGGAAAGGUCCGCCGGUCAGGGAUGGCCCGCGGCCUAUCAGCUUGUUGGCGAGGUAACGGCUCACCAAGGCGACGACGGGUAGCUGGUCUGAGAGGACGACCAGCCACACUGGAACUGAGAUACGGUCCAGACUCCGUACGGGAGGCA